CAACAAGAAGUGGACAGACUG
rnacentral:miRNA from 1 species